rnacentral:rRNA from 1 species
UACGUAGGGGGCAAGCGUUAUCCGGAUUUACUGGGUGUAAAGGGAGCGUAGGCGGCAGCGCAAGUCAGAAGUGAAAGCCCGGGGCUUAACUCCGGGACUGCUUUUGAAACUGUGCGGCUAGAUUUCAGGAGAGGUAAGCGGAAUUCCUAGUGUAGCGGUGAAAUGCGUAGAUAUUAGGAGGAACACCAGUGGCGAAGGCGGCUUACUGGACUGACAAUGACGCUGAGGCUCGAAAGCGUGGGGAGCAAACAGG